rnacentral:rRNA from 1 species
ACUCAAAUGAAUUGACGGGGACCCGCACAACCAGUGGAGCGUGUGGUUCAAUUCGAGACAAAGCGAAGGACCUCACCAGGGUUUGACAUGUUAUCGUUUUAAGUCCCUAGAAAUAGGGACCUAUCCGCAAGGAUGAUAGCACAGCUGCUGCAUGGCUGUCGUCAGCUCGUGCCGUGGGGUGUUCCCUUAAGUGGGACAACGAGCGCAACCCCUAUCCAAUGUUACAAGUGUCAUUGGAGACCGCCCACUCUCAGAGUACAGAACUAUUUCUGUAUUGUGAGAGUGGGAGGAAGGAGGGGACGACGUCAAGUCAGCACGGCGCUUAUGCCCUGGGCCACACACACCCUACAAUGGCGAAAAACAACGGGACGCAAGGUAGUAAUGCCAAGCAAAUCUCUUAAAUUUCGCCUCAAUUCAGAUUGAGGUCUGCAACUCGACCUCAUGAAGUUGGAAUUGGUAGUAAUCGCGGAUCAGCAGGCCGCGGUGAAUACGUUCUCGGGUCUUGUACACACCGCCCGU